UCCGCCAUAGCUCAGAUGGUUAGAGCGCACGGCUGUUAACCGUGAGGUCGUCGGUUCGAUCCCGACUGGCGGAG
rnacentral:tRNA from 1 species